CGAGCAAGCCGGGCGAUCGCUGCUUCGCUUAAGCGCCCGUCGCACGCCCGCAAGGGUUAGAGAGGGGCAAGCAGUAGCGAAGGAGAGGAAAGUCCGAACUCCACAGGGCAGUGUGCUCGUUAACAGCGAGGGUCGGAGGAGGAUCCCUGAGCGAUCGGGGCGUACGCCUCCGGCACGGAAAGUGCCACAGAAAACAUACCGCCCCGGUUUUCCGGGGUAAGGGUGAAAAGGUGCGGUCCGUUGCAUCGGGCUUAAUGUAAGAGCGCACCGCCUCGAUAGUGAUAUCGAGGGCAGGGUAAACCCCGCAUGGAGCAAGACCAAAUAGGAGAGGAGGAGUGGCCCGCUCCGCAAGGCCCGGUAGCGGCGAUCGGUGAUGACGGUAACACCGGCCAGCCAAAAGUUGUGGUUACGGACCGCCGCUACGGGCCGGUGACUCUCGGGUAGGUCGCUUGACCCCGUCAGCAAUGGCGGGGCUAGAGGAAUGAUCGUCAUCCCGACGAACUCGGGAAACAGAAUUCGGCUUACAGGCUUGCCCGCGCU
rnacentral:RNase_P_RNA from 1 species